rnacentral:rRNA from 1 species
CCUACGGGUGGCAGCAGUGGGGAAUAUUGCGCAAUGGGCGAAAGCCUGACGCAGCGACGCCGCGUGAGGGAUGAAGGUCUUCGGAUCGUAAACCUCUGUCAGCAGGGAAGAACGGUCACUGUGCUAAUCAGCAGUGAAUUGACGGUACCUGCAAAGGAAGCACCGGCUAACUCCGUGCCAGCAGCCGCGGUAAUACGGAGGGUGCGAGCGUUAAGCGGAAUUACUGGGCGUAAAGCGCUCGUAGGCGGGAUGUCAAGUCAAGGGUGAAAUCCCCGCGCUCAACGUGGGAGCUGCCUUUGAAACUGGCAAACUGGAGUGUGUGAGAGGAUAGUGGAAUUCCAGGUGUAGGAGUGAAAGCCGUAGAUAUCAGGAGGAACAGCAGUGGCGAAGGCGACUAUCUGGCACAUAACUGACGCUGAGGAGCGAAAGCGUGGGUAGCAAACAGGAUUAGAUACCCGGGUAGUC